rnacentral:miRNA from 1 species
UGGUGCCUAUUUGUUCCCACCCUUCGCCGAAUGCCUGGUUGGAAUCAAGAGGCCUGAU